rnacentral:rRNA from 1 species
AUUGAACGCUGGCGGCAGGCCUAACACAUGCAAGUCGAGCGGUAACAGGACUAGCUUGCUAGUUGCUGACGAGCGGCGGACGGGUGCGUAACACGUAGGAAUCUGCCCGGUAGUGGGGGAUAGCCCGGAGAAAUCCGGAUUAAUACCGCAUACGCCCUAAGGGGGAAAGAUGGCCUCUUCUUGAAAGCUAUCACUAUCGGAUGAGCCUGCGUCGGAUUAGCUGGUUGGUGGGGUAAAGGCCUACCAAGGCGACGAUCCGUAG